CAAACAAACAAACAAACAGGGAUGGAUGCUUAAGCAAUACCAAACAACAAGUUAUAAUUUUGCUUGAGUUUGCUUUCAGGAUCUGAUUAAUCUUGGUUUAGAAUUCAUUCAUUCAGGUUCAGCAUUAAUCUCAGCUUUGACAAUAGCCUCCUGUGAAGCUGCAUUAAAGAAGGACAAACUCAGCUCAGAAAUACGACUGUAUGUAUUCUGUGGAAGAGCUGCACAUUUUAGGUACAGCUACAAAACCUGACAAGGAAAGUUCACAUCAUGCAUCCACAUUUACAGUCAUUUCUGACGUCUGAAACACACUCCGGACGUCUGAGGAUAUUUUUUUCUAUUUAAAAAAAAAAGUAAAGUCUGAAGAAAGAAAGGCGCCGGGCUGAUGCGUUG